rnacentral:rRNA from 1 species
UACGUAGGGCGCAAGCGUUGUCCGGAAUCAUUGGGCGUAAAGAGCUCGUAGGCGGCCUGUUGCGUCCGCUGUGAAAUCCCGGGGCUUAACCCCGGGCGUGCAGUGGAUACGGGCUGGCUGGAGGCAGGCAGGGGAGACUGGAAUUCCUGGUGUAGCGGUGAAAUGCGCAGAUAUCAGGAGGAACACCGGUGGCGAAGGCGGGUCUCUGGGCCGAUACUGACGCUGAGGAGCGAAAGCGUGGGGAGCGAACAGG